rnacentral:rRNA from 1 species
CGGGGUGGAGUAAUGUCUGGGAAACUGCCUGAUGGAGGGGGAUAACUACUGGAAACGGUAGCUAAUACCGCAUAACGUCGCAAGACCAAAGUGGGGGACCUUCGGGCCUCAUGCCAUAAGAUGUGCCCAGAUGGGAUUAGCUAGUAGGUGGGGUAACGGCUCACCUAGGCGACGAUCCCUAGCUGGUCUGAGAGGAUGACCAGCCACACUGGAACUGAGACACGGUCCAG